rnacentral:rRNA from 1 species
AGUUCGGAUUGUAGGCUGAAACUCGCCUACAUGAAGCUGGAGUUGCUAGUAAUCGCGAAUCAGCAUGUCGCGGUGAAUACGUUCCCGGGCCUUGUACACACCGCCCGUCACACCAUGAGAGUUGGCAAUACCCAACGUACGUGAUCUAACCCGCAAGGGAGGAAGCGUCCUAAGGUAGGGUCAGCGAUUGGGGUGAAGUCGUAACAAGGUAUC